CGUAGGGUGCGAGCGUUAAUCGGAAUUACUGGGCGUAAAGUGUGCGCAGGCGGCCGAGCAAGUCGAGUGUGAAAGCCCCGAGCUUAACUUGGGAACUGCGCUCGAAACUACUUGGCUAGAGUGUGGCAGAGGGAGGUGGAAUUCCACGUGUAGCGGUGAAAUGCGUAGAGAUGUGGAGGAACACCGAUGGCGAAGGCAGCCUCCUGGGCCAACACUGACGCUCAUGCACGAAAGCGUGGGGAGCAAACAGGAUUAGAUACCCUGGUAGUCCACGCCCUAAACGAUGAUGACUAGUUGUUGGAGGAGUUAAAUCCUUUAGUAACGCAGCUAACGCGUGAAGUCAUCCGCCUGGGGAGUACGGUCGCAAGAUUA
rnacentral:rRNA from 1 species